UUGUGGAUUUAAAACGCCCACACAACAGUGCCUCACACAAAAGUUGUGUGCACAUGAGUGUUGUUUUCUCGUUUGAGAAAGAAGAAUGUCAUCUGUGUUCCACAGAUGGCUGUGUCAAGUCAAAAUGGAUAGGUGUGCAGUAAAGACGCUUAAGAGUAUAACUAGAUUAUUUAGCAGAAAGCAGUACUUCAAAUUGCGAUUUUGAAUGGUUAGCCCAGUAAGUUCAGGAUUAGUCUAACAAAGGGAAAGAUGAAUAUGCUUUGGAGUAUGUCAUAGAUCAGUGGCCUUUGGGGCAUUUCAGUAAAAUUCCUUUGUUAAUGGUAAAGUGAAUAAGCUCCUUGUCUUGCUGCAAGGAAAGGACACUGCGGAUACUACUUCACUUACACAUCUUAAGCAUCAUGUGCCAGUCAUCGGCACAGAAGGAUGGACCAACUGGAGUCCUGAGUCUACAGUGGACACCUUCAAGUCCAAUAAUAAUUGCCACUGAUUAUGGAGAAUGGUGGGCCAGGCCUUGUCAUUAAACACAUUCUCUCAGUGAAUCCUUAAACAGCCCAGUGAAUUAGUUAUGUUACCCACUUCCAACAUUAGGGAAUUAACUCUCUGGAUUAUUAAAUUCUACAGCUGUAAUAAAUUGCAGAAUUGGGUUUUGAAGGCAAUCUGACUUUAAGGCCCAUGCUUCAAAACACAAUGUCCUGCUGAGAACACAUCUUGCCAUGAUCAGUGUGGUUAUGAUGGUUCUAGCAGAAUGUUCCGUGGGAAUACAGACAGUAAGUGACAAAUUCAGCCUGGGGACUGGUCAAGGCAGGCACCACAUUCAAGUCAUAUUGCAGCUGACUCUGAAAGAUAGACAGGAUUUUGCAAAUGUGGGGAGGGGAGAGGAAGAGUUUUCUGGGCAGAGAACUACAUGCAGAGACAGGGGGACCUGGAAGAACAGCGUCUGUUCUUCAGAGUCUGUUGGGGCCCCUAAGCAGUUUUGAGUACAGUGUGGAUUCUGCAGACGAGAACAAGAGGUAAGGCAGGAACAGUGGAAGGAUAUUUUCUCCAGAGCUGAGUCGUCCCAGAGUCCCACUGGGAGCCACUGUGAGUGUUGAAGCAGAGGUGUAGCGUGAUCAGCCCAGGAGGUUAGACUGCUUUCUGCAGCAUCACAGAUGGACUAGAAGAGGAGAGAUCUACCCAGGUUUGUCCAUGAAGGGAGCACUAGCAAUUUGUAAAAUAAGAGGUGAAGAAAGCCGGAACCAAGGCAGUAGCAUCGGGGCAAGAGGCAAAGGCCAAGAGUAACUCUAAUUUCUUGGUUAGGCCCGUGGUUUCUCUACAUGGGGAGAGGUAGGGCGGACAGAGCAAAUAGUGGGUGGCUAUCUAGCUUCAGCUAGUUUGAUCUUGUAUGUUCAAGACAGGUUUUAUAAAUAGCCUAGAAUUUGGGGGAUGAACGAGGCAUAUUCUUCCUGAUGAGGAAGAAACAGUGAUGAGGCCUGGUGAUACAGCAGUAACAGAGGCAUGCCCUGCCCUCUCAGAGGUUCGUACAGUCUGGAGGAAGAGGCAGGCGAUCAAGUCACACAAAUGCAGAAACUGUCAAUGAUGUGGAGUGCUAAGAUUCCCACAGCUGAGAAAGAAAGAAAGAAAGGAAGGAAGGAAGAAAGAAAGAAAGAAAAGAAAAGAAAAAAGAAACCAAUAUUUUAGCUACUGAGAUGUCUCCUCAGGUGUGAAUGAAGGAGAAACCAUUCUGUAUGAGGAACGAGCCUUCGCUAGACACCCAUCUGGUGGAAUCUUGGUCUUGAACUUCUCAGCCUUCAAAGCCAUGAAAAAUAGGGCCAGGUGGUGACACAACUGGACCCACACGGGGAAGGUCCCAGUUUGCAUCCCAGGUACAUGUGUGUGUGUGUCUGUGGUGCAAGUCUUCUGAGACUGGAGGUGAAUUGUAGUAUGAAGACCUGUCAAAGGUGUUUGGCUCUCUCUCCCUCUCUGUCUCUCUCUCAUGAAAGGAAGGAAGAAACUUAACAAACAAAAAAUAACCCAUAUUUUGUUAUAACAUCCAGAAUGGACUAAGACACCCCCCACCGUGUAUGAGAACAAGGGAUUACCAGCGAUCUAUGUGGACUGAGACCAACCAUAAGUUUCCAGCACUGCCAAACACUCAGUGCCUCAGCAUCGUGGUAUUGACUGAACCCCAGGAAACUGACAUUUUUACCACCCAGGAGAAAGGAGCGUUCAUAAUGAAAAUUGCUAACAGUUUCUUAAAUACAGGAAUUGCUAGAUGGGCCUCAUGUGUUCAGUCUUUAUUCUAUAUGCCUUGGUGACUGCUGUCAAACACAUUGUCUUAAAACAACUGCUUUAAUAAGGUACAUUGGUUGAAGAACUUCAGUUGUCCUUUAUUUUCAUCAAAGUCAAACUUUUUUUUUUUUUUUUUUUUUUUGCAUUGAAAAUCCAACCUUUAACUGUUUUAUUCACCUUGACAAGGAGAUAGCUUCUCAGGCUCAGGCCACCUGACUGGAUCCCGCAUAAUCAACUGCACGGUUCAAAUUCCAGACCCCAAAACAUGCCAGGAACAUGUGCAUACAUGCCCAAA